GAUGAACGCUGGCGGCGUGCCUAAUACAUGCAAGUCGAGCGAACAGACGAGGAGCUUGCUCCUCUGACGUUAGCGGCGGACGGGUGAGUAACACGUGGAUAACCUACCUAUAAGACUGGGAUAACUUCGGGAAACCGGAGCUAAUACCGGAUAAUAUAUUGAACCGCAUGGUUCAAUAGUGAAAGACGGUUUUGCUGUCACUUAUAGAUGGAUCCGCGCCGUAUUAGCUAGUUGGUAAGGUAACGGCUUACCAAGGCAACGAUGCGUAGCCGACCUGAGAGGGUGAUCGGCCACACUGGAACUGAGACACGGUACAGACUCCUAAGGGAGGCAGCAGUAGGGAAUCUUCCGCAAUGGGCGAAAGCUUGACGGAGCAACGCCGCGUGAGUGAUGAAGGUCUUCGGAUCGUAAAACUCUGUUAUUAGGGAAGAACAAAUGUGUAAGUAACUAUGCACGUCUUGACGGUACCUAAUCAGAAAGCCACGGCUAACUACGUG
rnacentral:rRNA from 1 species